rnacentral:lncRNA from 1 species
UUUUUGUUGUUUUUUUAAAUCAACCCAAUGGUGUUUUUCACUCCCUGAGUAGUCAGGAGCCGGUCACAUGGAAUAUUAAGAUCCCUACAUGAAUGUUCUUGGAUCAGGCCCCAAGGAGAAACUGGCUUGGCAGAUUCAGGGCUCGCAGCACCUUCUCUGGAGCUCAGAAGACAACUAGGUAUUCUAGGGGUGGCCCAACUGCCCCUGGAGGGUGGAGUAAUGCGUCGGUCACAGAGGGUUGAAUGUCUUCCCUCGCGUGCCUUAAUGGAUUUCCAUACUGAUCUUUUAUCCUACAGAUGUUUCCCUUUACUGGAUCUAAGUUUUGGAGCCAACUUAUCCAAUAAUUAUAAAUGUAUUACUUUACAUAUCAGAGCUAGAUACAAUCAGCGUCUCUUCACUGGAGAAAGCCAAGAUGACUAUGCUGAAACAAGCAGUAGCCCAAAAGAAAACUAGCCAUUCAUGUGUUCAUUCAUUUGCCAAUACAGUGUGCCAGGCACUGUGCUAGAAUCAAGAGAUAAAACCAAGAGCAAGAUCUUGUCCGGGGGAAGUUUGCUUUUUUUUUUUUUUUUGAAAUGUAAGACUCGUUUAAGAAGUCCACCCUUGUCUCUGAGAAUUCAUUGAAGUGCAUGAGUUUCAGUUUGGGAGUCACAGGACUCCGGCUUCCACCAUCACUUCGAAGAAGGUGAUGCGAAGUGCACACUCAUCCUGACCAAGGUGUGUGGCCAAGUGUUUCAGUUGAGGGUUCUCUCUCCAAACCACACUCGGCUUUGAGCAAACUCACCACGUGCCUUUGAUCCCUAGUUCCAUCUUCGUGGACUGUGGAUAACAUCUCUUAUUCAUUCACAAGAAAAGGUAUCAGGCAUCCUUGUCCAGGGCACCGGUACCUCUCCCUUCUUACUGCCAGUGUCAUGUAGCACAGGGUAGGUGCGAACAAACCUGUUUGUUGAGUGAGUGAAGGACAACGGCCCUGUCCAAAUUCUGAAUCUGUCGGACCACGGUAGGCUGCUCAUAUAUGCACUCCUACAUAAAUGGGGACGGUGAGUCACACCUCUCCAAUAGGUGUUGCUACAAUCCACUCUUAGAGCACCAAAGAGCUUCAGUGGGGCACAUAUUUCAGUGGAUUACUAGAACUUUUUUUCUCCUUGGCCACGCUGAGGUGCGCAAAGCACUUGGAAAGCCUCACUUUACACCAACUGUAGGCAUCGCUUCUAUUUCUCCCUGUUGUCUCUGACUUUUCCAGAGCCAUCACUCAUCUUUAGCAUCAACAGACCACCAUAUGACAGGAGGGAACUUGUUCAUAUGGUUUGAUCUAGAAAACACAUAUGGACAGAAAGUAACCACGAAUUCGAUAAUCCUUUAAAAUGAAUUCAGGUUGCCCCGGGUGUGAGUGUGUGUGUGUGUGUGUGUGUUUAUAUGAGAUUUUUAUUGAUUUAAGUUUCUGCUCCAUGCGUGGCAUCUGCAGCGACACGGAAGUCCUUUGUAACAAUUCUCAAGCCCGCAGGUUGGCAGCAUGGUUCUCAAAUCUAAACCAUGGUCCGCCUAUAACCUCAGCUUUCACCAGCGCCCUUUACCCACAGCUGUCCCUCCAACUCUUUCUCUUUUGUUAUUGGACCAUCUCGCCCCAGAGGUUUGAAGACAAGACGCUCUGUGACUUUGAAUCGGUGAGAUUCUGGAGUACACGGCACCCGCCCCAACUGGGGUUUCCACGCAGAUCGUAUACCUGUCUGAUACUUUAUUCAUACACGUUCAAAGAGUGCCCUGCCCCACUGCAGAUCCUCACAUGCCAACCUCUACUAGCUGUUUUUUUUUAAUUUUUAUUUAUUUAUGAUAGUCACAGAGAGAGAGAGAGAGAAGAGAGAGAGAGAGAGGCAGAAGCAGGCUCCAUGCACCGGGAGCCCGAUGUGGGAUUCGAUCCCGGGUCUCCAGGAUCGCGCCCUGGGCCAAAGGCAGGCGCCAAACCGCUGCGCCACCCAGGGAUCCCUCUAUUAGUUGUUUUAUUGUGUUUUCUUUCCUCGGGCUCAGCGUUUCAAAGGGCAGGUGCCACAAUUAAAUGAUGAUUACGGAGGUGUCUGCGCUGGUGUCUCGUGCUCACGAUUUAACAGACGGUGCCAGGCCAGGGGUCCUCUCGGGAAGGCUGCUUUCCAAGUCUCUCAGCCUCCCCCUGUGCUCCCAGCUGUGUCAGCUCGUCCCCGCCUCUGGGACACCGCCAGCCCCCCUCCCUCUCACCGGCAUCCUGCUGCCAAUCCGAGCCCCGCUUGCUCCCGCCGUGUACCCCCGAGGCACAUCUAAGCCCUGCAGGCUCUGUGUGGCCACCGCAACCCUGGCCUCCGAGUGGCAAAGACACUGCUCUGUACGAAGGUGAUGACUCAAGUGCCAGGUUUUUCACUCCCAUCUUGCCUUUUCUUGGACCACCCCUUGCUUUGUGCCACCUGCUUCUCAAGAUGCUCACCAGGCCCGCUGGUGGAGGUCCCAGCGUCACCUGCUUGCCUAGGGCAUUCCUUGAUUGACCAUUUGUGGCCAUGCCUCCUGAGCCUGGUGCUCUGCCCAAAAGGUAGUGUUCCCCAAGCUGCUGGCGGUGGCUACAGCUGCUGCCUGUGCCUAGGAGCCUGGUGCUGCCACCCACACUCUAACGGACUUCGGAAAACCUCAAAUUCCUCACUCUAUACAGUGGAGAUCACAAGCAAGACCAGUAGCAGAGCAUGUUUUGUGACAAUUAAAAGGGUUGGUACUGGGGCGCCUGGGUGGCUCAGUCGGGUAAGCAUCUGCCUUCAGCUCAGGUCAUGGUCUCAGGGUCCUGGGAUGGAGCAACGCAUCAGGCUCCCUGCUCAGUGGGGAGUCUGCUUCUCUCUCCCCCUCUUCCUCUGUCCCUCCCUCUGCUUGUGCCCCCUCUCUCUGUCAAAUAAAUAAAUAAAAUCUUAAAAGAAAAAAAAAGUUCUGGUACUUUUGAGGCUUCUGUAGACUUGAAUGUCUGCAUCCCUCCCAAAUUCGCAUACUAAUUCCUAAGACCCAAUGGGAUGGUAUUUGGGAGGUGAUUAGUAAUGAGGGUGAAGCUCUCAUGAAUGGGAUUAGGGCCCUUUUAUUUAUUUAAUUAUCUUUAAAAGAUCUAAUUAAUUUAUUUGAAAGCCAGUGAGAGAGCAUGAGUGGGGAGAGGGAGAGAGGGAGGGAGAGACUCCCAAGCGGACUCUCCACUGAGCCUGACACAGGGCUCAGUCCUAGAGCCCUGAGAAGAGUACAUGUGUUGAUCGUUGCUGCUAAUUCUGUAUGAAGCCUGUUUAUCAGGCAUUCUCAGAGAAUGCCACCUAGGACCCGUGCCAAUGAUGAGAUGACCGAAUGUUUAGCCCAGGUGCAAAUGAUGUGUACGUGCUCACUCCUAGUGAUCGAAAGAACCUGGCCAGAGCAACUUGCUGUUUUAUUGGUCAAUGGGUUGUUUGCAUUAACUCAUGCUUCGCCCUGGAAACCUGUAAAAGAACUGGGUCAAAAUGGAAGCAUCCAUCCACACGAAGGACAGGUGUGAACGGUCCUGUGAGGGACAAUGUUUCCUCUCACCACCACGCUCCAGCUCUAGGGUUUGCUUGGGACUGAGAUAGUUGCCAAAGGAAACUUGUACUCUUGGCUCUAAGAAUGCAGCCUGGAAGCCCCGUUUUCCCUACACUUGGCCAGGGUGGUAGGACCGACUGCC